GCCUGGGUGGCUCAGUCAGUUAAGCGUCCGACUUCGGCUCGGAUCAUGACCUCACGGUAUGUGAGUUCGAGCCCCGCAUCAGGCU
rfam:Felis catus isolate Cinnamon breed Abyssinian chromosome X, whole genome shotgun sequence.